UACGAAGGGGGCUAGCGUUGCUCGGAAUCACAGGGCGUAAAGCGCACGUAGGCGGCUUUUUAAGUCAGGGGUGAAAUCCUGGAGCUCAACUCCAGAACUGCCUUUGAUACUGAGAAGCUUGAGUCCGGGAGAGGUGAGUGGAACUGCGAGUGUAGAGGUGAAAUUCGUAGAUAUUCGCAAGAACACCAGUGGCGAAGGCGGCUCACUGGCCCGGUACUGACGCUGAGGUGCGAAAGCGUGGGGAGCAAACAGG
rnacentral:rRNA from 1 species